CCUCCGCAGGCUGCCGGCCCCCAGGCUGGGCUGGGCGAGUAUCUCUUCCAAGGCUCAUCCUCCAGCAUGACGAGGAGC
rnacentral:pre_miRNA from 1 species